AGCAGCCGCGGUAAUUCCAGCUCCAAUAGCGUAUAUUAAAGUUGUUGCAGUUAAAAAGCUCGUAGUUGAAUUUCGGGAUCAAUAUGCCGGUCAUGCCUUGGUAUGCACUGGUAUCUUUGAUUUCUCCCUUCUGACGAACUUUGAUGUCAUUAAUUUGGUGUCAUAGGGAAUCAGGACUGUUACUUUGAAAAAUUGAGUGUUUAAAGCAAGCUAACGCUUGAAUACAUUAG
rnacentral:rRNA from 1 species